GAUUAUUUAGUUUAAUUUAAAACAAAUGUUUUGAAAACAUUAAAUAAGAUAAAAAUUUCUUAGUAGUCU
rnacentral:tRNA from 1 species